GUUUUUUUGAAGUUAAUGUUUCAACCUGAGACAUUUUUUGAGUGCUGUGAUUUUUGUUAGGUAAGGUUUCAUAUGUAGGGGUUUUAGGAUUUCAUUUGUUUUUGGGGAUUUUGAGUAAAUCAUUUUAAGGAUCUUUGAUUUAUAGACCCAAUGUUUUUUUACUUUAAGGCUACUAGAGUUUUUAGUACCGAGGUCAACUCUCAAGCCCUCUCUCUCCUACUCCUCUUCUUGCCUUUCUCUUUCAUUUCCAAACCAAUCCUCUGAGGCAUAUCCAAGCGUUGCUACUCAACCAUAAUCUACCUUUUUUUUAGAUAUUCUUACCCAAUAUGAUCGAAGCAACAAUGAUUUCAUGGAAUAGUUUCAACUUCCUGAGUUAGACACACGAUUAUUGAACUCAGUACUAUCAUGUUGUAUGUAUCCCUUAACAAACUUCGAAAAGGAAAUGACUAAAACGUAAAAGGAAUAUACAUUAGAUAAAAUAUAUGGAAUCAUAGAAUUGCAAAAGUAGUAAUACUUAUAAUAAUGCAAAGUGAUUUGACUCUUUUAUAUAAUAAUAAUAAUAAUAAUAAUAAUAAUAAUAAUAAUAAUAAUAAGAUCCUAGAAAUUCCCUAAGACUCAUUCAAUCUGGUUAGCACAAUU
rnacentral:lncRNA from 1 species